rnacentral:rRNA from 1 species
GAUGAACGCUGGCGGCGUGCCUAAUACAUGCAAGUCGAGCGAACAGACGAGGAGCUUGCUCCUCUGACGUUAGCGGCGGACGGGUGAGUAACACGUGGAUAACCUACCUAUAAGACUGGGAUAACUUCGGGAAACCGGAGCUAAUACCGGAUAAUAUAUUGAACCGCAUGGUUCAAUAGUGAAAGACGGUUUUGCUGUCACUUAUAGAUGGAUCCGCGCCGCAUUAGCUAGUUGGUAAGGUAACGGCUUACCAAGGCAACGAUACGUAGCCGACCUGAGAGGGUGAUCGGCCACACUGGAACUGAGACACGGUCCAGACUCCUACGGGAGGCAGCAGUAGGGAAUCUUCCGCAAAGGGCGAAAGCUUGACGGAGCAACGCCGCGUGAGUGAUGAAGGUCUUCGGAUCGUAAAACUCUGUUAUUAGGGAAGAACAAAUGUGUAAGUAACUAUGCACGUCUUGACGGUACCUAAUCAGAAAGCCACGGCUAACUACGUG